GGGUUGUGAGGUUAAGCGACUAAGCGUACACGGUGGAUGCCCUGGCAGUCAGAGGCGAUGAAGGACGUGCUAAUCUGCGAAAAGCGUCGGUAAGGUGAUAUGAACCGUUAUAACCGGCGAUGUCCGAAUGGGGAAACCCAGUGUGAUUCGUCACACUAUCGUUAACUGAAUACAUAGGUUAACGAGGCGAACCGGGGGAACUGAAACAUCUAAGUACCCCGAGGAAAAGAAAUCAACCGAGAUUCCCCCAGUAGCGGCGAGCGAACGGGGAGCAGCCCAGAGUCUGAAUCAGCUUGUGUGUUAGUGGAACGGUCUGGAAAGUCCGACGGUACAGGGUGAUAGUCCCGUACACCAAAAUGCACAGGUUGUGAACUCGAAGAGUAGGGCGGGACACGUGGUAUCCUGUCUGAAUAUGGGGGGACCAUCCUCCAAGGCUAAAUACUCCUGACUG
rnacentral:rRNA from 1 species